rnacentral:piRNA from 1 species
UGCUACCUUUCCUAACGCUGAGGGAU